rnacentral:rRNA from 1 species
ACUCCUACGGGAGGCAGCAGUGGGGAAUUUUGCGCAAUGGGGGAAACCCUGACGCAGCAACGCCGCGUGAGUGAUGAAGGCCUUUGGGUCGUAAAGCUCUGUCAGAGGGGAAGAAAUGAUAUAGUGCUAAUACCACUUUAUCUUGACGGUACCCUCAAAGGAAGCACCGGCUAACUCCGUGCCAGCAGCCGCGGUAAUACGGAGGGUGCGAGCGUUGUUCGGAUUUAUUGGGCGUAGAGCACGUGUAGGCGGUUUUUUAAGUCUGAUGUGAAAGCCCCGGGCUCAACCUGGGAAGUGCAUUGGAUACUGGGAGACUUGAAUACGGGAGAGGGUAGUGGAAUUCCUAGUGUAGGAGUGAAAUCCGUAGAUAUUAGGAGGAACACCGGUGGCGAAGGCGGCUACCUGGACCGAUAUUGACGCUGAGACGCGAAAGCGUGGGGAGCAAACAGGAUUAGAUACCCUGGUAGUCCACGCCGUAAACGAUGAGUACUAGGUGUUGCGGGUAUUGACCCCUGCAGUGCCGCAGCUAACGCAUUAAGUACUCCGCCUGGGAAGUACGGUCGCAAGACUAAAACUCAAAUGAAUUGACGG